rnacentral:rRNA from 1 species
UACAGAGGUCCCGAGCGUUGUUCGGAUUUACUGGGCGUAAAGGGCUCGUAGGCGGCCAACUAAGUCAAACGUGAAAUCCCUCGGCUUAACCGGGGAACUGCGCUUGAUACUGGAUGGCUUGAGAUUGGGAGAGGGAUGCGGAAUUCCAGGUGUAGCGGUGAAAUGCGUAGAUAUCUGGAGGAACACCGGUGGCGAAGGCGGCAUCCUGGACCAACACUGACGCUGAGGAGCGAAAGCCAGGGGAGCAAACGGG